GACGAACCGUGCGAACGUUGUUCGGAAUCACUGGGCUUAAAGGGCGCGUAGGUGGCUACUCAAGCGCGCGGUGAAAGCCCGGGGCUCAACCCCGGGUCGGCCGUGCGGACUGGGAGGCUCGAGCACUGUAGGGGCGGGUGGAAUUCCGGGUGUAGCGGUGGAAUGCGUAGAUAUCGAGAGGAACACCUGCGGCGAAGGCGGGUUGCUGGGCUGACACUGACGCUGAUGCGCGAAAGCCAGGGGAGCGAACGGG
rnacentral:rRNA from 1 species